GGCGGCAUGCCUUACACAUGCAAGUCGAACGGCAGCACGGGUGCUUGCACCUGGUGGCGAGUGGCGAACGGGUGAGUAAUACAUCGGAACAUGUCCUGUAGUGGGGGAUAGCCCGGCGAAAGCCGGAUUAAUACCGCAUACGAUCCACGGAUGAAAGCGGGGGACCUUCGGGCCUCGCGCUAUAGGGUUGGCCGAUGGCUGAUUAGCUAGUUGGUGGGGUAAAGGCCUACCAAGGCGACGAUCAGUAGCUGGUCUGAGAGGACGACCAGCCACACUGGGACUGAGACACGGCCCAGACUCCUACGGGAGGCAGCAGUGGGGAAUUUUGGACAAUGGGCGAAAGCCUGAUCCAGCAAUGCCGCGUGUGUGAAGAAGGCCUUCGGGUUGUAAAGCACUUUUGUCCGGAAAGAAAUCCCUGGCUCUAAUACAGUCGGGGGAUGACGGUACCGGAAGAAUAAGCACCGGCUAACUACGUGCCAGCAGCCGCGGUAAUACGUAGGGUGCGAGCGUUAAUCGGAAUUACUGGGCGUAAAGCGUGCGCAGGCGGUCUGUUAAGACAGAUGUGAAAUCCCCGGGCUCAACCUGGGAACUGCAUUUGUGACUGGCAGGCUAGAGUAUGGC
rnacentral:rRNA from 1 species